rnacentral:lncRNA from 1 species
GAGACGUUUACGUCCCGCCGGGCCGGGACCCCUGCCCUCACAGCAGGAAGCAGCUCCCGGAGAAGGACCACCAGCCCUCAGCAGCCCUUUAAGAAUAAGGGCGGCAGCUCUGAGGAGAAAGUGAGGCAGUUUAUCAAGGAAACCAGGAAAAGCGAGCCAGAGCAGGGCCGGCAGCACGGCUGAUAGACCGCAUGGCCGGCAGGCAGCAUGGCCACAGACUGCAUGGCCGACAGCAUGGCCGACAGACAGCGUGGCGGGAGACCGCGUGGCCGGCGGGCAGCACGCGUGCACGGCCAUGCUGAGAGCGACCUAAAAGGCAAAUGCAUAAAUUGUGAUGAGAAAUCAGUAGUUUGGGACUCAAUGUAAAAACACGUAGUUUGCAACAAGAGCCCGAUCAGGUGAGCAGGGCACAGGAGCGGCUGUGAACGCUGUGAAGCUGGCGUCCAAGCAGAGGGACGUUAGAGUCAGGCUGUUGGAUUUAAGGCCAUGGUAACCACACGUACUGGAGAAGGCGCGAGCUCAGAGAAACGGACAUUUAAAGCACAGGCGAGGGGACAGAGGCAACGAGGAGCUAACGCAUAAUGAUACAGGGCUUCUGUUUGGGGUGAAGGAAAGUCCUAGUAAUGGAAGGAAGCAACAGUGGUAAACGUGAUUAACCCCACUGAAUGGUGGCUCGGGAGGGGUUGGGAUGCUAAGAUUUUUGUUUAUCUGUAGCAGUUUGACAAUAGUGAUAAAUUACAAAAAAGAAUUAUUGGAUUAUGUUUGUAAACUGGUCUCUUCCUCUGGGCAUAUGAGAUUAUAUUGGAUUUUCUUGAUUACUUAAUCAAAUAAACCUCUUGUGUCAGUAGGGCAUUGAGUCCCCGCCCCUUGGCUGGUAGGCACUUGCAGACAAAAGGCAUGUCAAAGGACAGAGGUGGGGUUUUUGAUGUUGGAGUUUGAUGCUGAAGCCUUAAGCUGGAGCCCCAGGAAGAGAGGAACCCUGAACCCAGAGAGAAGCAAGACCCUGGAAGGGAGGAACCCAGGAAGCCUGAACCCUCGCAGACGUCAGCAGCCCUCUUACUUCAACACAUGAAAUUAGACUUUGGGGAGGUACGAAGUAGCUUAUUUUAUGGCUGGUAUCUGUAAACUCCGACCCCAAAUAAACACCCUUUAUAAAAACCAACCAAUUUCUGGUAUUUUGCAUCAGCACCCCUUUGGCUGAUUAAUACAAUAUCUUUCCACAAUUAAUAGAAUGAUCUAAAGAAAUGAUAAUUAAAUGCAAUACAUGAUACUGGAUAGGAUCUAAGAAUGGAGAAAAGGCUGAAAGGGACAUUAUUGUGAUUUAGAAAAAAUUGGAGUACAGAAUGCAAGCUUUUUAUCAACGUUAAAUUUCUCGAACUUAAUUUACAUGUAAGUGUUCAAGGAGCAUGUGUGCAGGCUGCUCUCAAAUGUUCAAAAGGAGAGAAGGGGAAGGAAAGAGGGAAAGAAAAAAAUAGAAAUGUGGCAAAACAUUAAGACUGAUGGAUCUGGGUAUUGGGAGGGGCUGGGGGUAAUGCUGGAGUUCUCUGUAUAGGGUGUUAUUUUUGUAACUGUCCUGUAACCUUGAAAUUACUUCAAAAUAAGUGAAAAAAUUAAACCUGAAUAUUAAUCUCAUCAAAAUGAAGAACCACUUAUAUAGCAAAGAUGGGAGGUUAGGAAGAGUUUAUAUACAGACAUUGAGGAGGAGAACUGAAAGUCAUGUUCCACUACCAUAAGUGAAGAGCUAAUGCCAAAAACGAAGGCCAAGUAGUAACCCGCACACAUCAUUAGAGAAGAGGUAAGCGUCGAAAGAACUGAAGCCAGCUGCCUCUGGAGUGGGAAAAGGCGGCAGGGACAGGAGUCUUCAAAACAAGCUGUGUUGAAUCAUCUUGACUCUUCAAUUUGUACUCAUCCUUCUACUUAAACCUUGAUUAAACAAUUUUUUUCAUUACAAAAGGCAACAUCUAUGCCAAAGAAAAACAGGUCAGAGAAAUAAGACAAAACAGUAUAAAAAUACAAUAAACAAAAACAGACAAAAACCAGGCCAGGGUGCUUACCAGCACACGCCUCGGCUCUGCGCAGUCCGGGACAGCUGCCCAGAGACCGAGCAAGCGCGCGGCUCUGGCCGCCCCCGGGCCCUCGUGCGUCUCCGUCCAGCUCUAGCUGCCUCCUUUGGACUCGGUGCGCAACCGGCCCCUUUCCACCACAGGCUGAUGGAGGCCAGCCCCGCGGGC